GUUCAAAUGAGGAAGGGAUUAUGGUGGAUACCUAGGCACCCAGAUACGAGGAAGGGUGUGGUAAGCGACGAAAUGCUUCGGGGAGUUGAAAAUGAGCAUAGAUCUGGAGAUUCCCGAAAAGGUUAAACUUUUUAACUAUCGUUGAAUCCAUGGGCAUGCAAGAGACAACCUGGAGAACUGAAACAUCUUAGUAUCCAGAGGAAUAUAAAGCAAAAGUGAUUCCCAUAGUAGUGGCGAGCAAAAUGGGAGAAACCUAAACCGUGAAAACGGGGUUGUGGGAGAGCAAAAUAUAAUCUAUGUGUUGCUAGGUGAAGCGGUUGAGUCCUACACCCUAGAUGGUGAGAGUCCAGUAGCCAAAAGCAUCAUUGGGUUACGCUCUAACCCGAGUAGCAUGGGGCAUGUGGAAUCCCGUGUGAAUCAACAAGGACCACCUUGCAAGGCUAAAUACUCCUAGGUAACCGAUAACGAAGUAUUAUCGUGAGGGAAAGGUGAAAAGAACCACCAUCAGUGAGUGAAAUAGAACAUGAACACGUAAGCUCCCAACUAGUGGGAGGAAAAUGAUAUCUCUGACCACGUGCAUGUUGAAGAAUGAGCCGACGACUUAUAGGUAGUGGCUUGGUUAAGGGAACCCACCAAAUAAGUAGCGAGAGCGAGUCUUCAUGGGGAAAUUAUCACUACUUAUGGACCUGAACCUGGGUGAUCUAUCCAUGACCAGGAUGAAGCUUGGGUGCAGCUGAGUGGAGGUCCGAACCGACUAAUGUUGAAAAAUCAGUGGAUGAGUCAUGGUUAGGGGUGAAAUUCAACUCGAACCCAGAUCUAGUUGGUUCUCCCCGAAAUGCGUUGAGGCGCAACAGUUGACUAGACCAUCUAGGGGUAAAGCACUGUUUCGAUAUAGGCCACGAGAUCAGUACAAAAUCAAGGAAAACUCUGAAUACUAGAUUGCCCCAAUAAAGGGGGUAAAGGUAAGCCAGUGAGACGAUGGGGGAUAAGCUUCAUCGUCGAGAGGGAAACAACCCAGAUCAUCAGCUAAGAUGCCUAAAUGACCACUUAGUGAUGAAGGAAGUACGAGUGCAAAGACAGCCAGGAGGUUUGCCUAGAAGCAACCAACCUUGAAAUAUUGCGUAAUAGCUCACUGAUCGAGCAUUCUUGCAUCGAAUAUGAAUGGGACUAAGCAAUCUGUCGAAGUUGUGGGAUGUAAAAAUACAUCGGUAGAGGAGCAUUCUACCUCAGAGGGAAGCACCGGUGUGGGCAAGUGUGGAUGAAGAAAAAGUGAAAAUGUCAGCUUGAGUAAUGCAAACAUUUGUGAGAAUCCAAUGCCCCAAAAACCUAAGGGUUCCUCCACAAGGUUCGUUGACCUUGUAGAGUUAUUGUUACUCCAGGGGGUCAUCCCUAUAGGAUACGAGAGGUAGUUCUGACCACUAUACCAAAAAAACAGUGCUGCAAAGUAAUCUCUCAUACCGCAAAGUUUAGCCUCUUCACAACCUAGUCAGAAGAGAAGGACAUUGAAACCACUACAAUCUCAACCUAACACCCUUCUAUCCAAUAGAAGAAAAUCAAAAAUAUUGUAGAAUAGCACCAAUAUAUUACUACUGCACCUAUGGAAGUGCCUCCACAUAGACCAGCAAACCAAGUUAUGAUAAAUCUCUUCAUGUUCUUCAUGUUGCAUCUUAAUUGAUAGAUUUCUCCAACACUUCAACAGAUCAUGCAGUCUGAUUGGUUAAAAAAAUACAACCCCUCCAACAACAGGUUCAUAACAACCUUCAACAACCUAAGCAGGGCAACUUCUUCAGCAAGGCAACCAACUCAGCAAGGUUCAGAUUCAACAAAAUCUUCCCCGGGGACUUCAUGCAAUGGAUACCAUUGAUUCCUAAGGGGGGAUGAUUGAUCCAAGAGAAAUUGGUGGCCAACCACCUAUUCCACUGGCUCAAAAUAGGGGUUUCCACCUUGGCAUUUUUUCUACAACUUUUCAUCUCCUAAAAUCAUGGGGUCGUUUUAAGGCCCUAAACAACGCUUUUUUGGCCCUCCAUGGUAAUACAAUAAAUUUUAUACAAAUUUUAAUGGAAAAAUGUAUAUUCCUUAGAUAGACCUUUCAAAUGAGCUAUCGUGCACCCAAAAUGAAGAUCGUAUACAAACGUUACGCCCUUGGGAAAUUGACAUACCAACUACCCCCAUCAAGGCCUGUAAACCUUUUUUUGUUUUAUCUUUUGGGGUUAGGGUUUUGGAUUUUAUUUAUGUUAAAAAAUCCUAUAGAGCCUCAUUUUAACUGUCAUCGUCUUCUUGUGAAUGAGAGUAUCCAUCACAUCUCUUCUCAGAGAUAAGUUGUCACCAUUCUAGCAAGUUAUUCACUCUAUAUUCUUUACAGUCUCUGUACAUUUCCGUCAUUAAUAAAAAUUAUGCAUUAAUGUAUCUAUGUAUAUUUCAUUCUUAUAUUUCGCCUUCAUUUCGUUCUCAAAAUAAUCCAGAUCAUUGGUAUCAGAGAAGGCUACUCAUUUUUGUUUCUCAAUGCAUGUCCCUUACAAGGUCAGGGUAUAGAGAGUUGGGUCUCGAGCUAGUUUUUCUUGAGGACAAUAGCUCUCACCAACCCAAGCGACCUCCCAUGGUGGAAGAGAAGAGGAACGAGGGAGUAGAAUAUCCCAUUAGUUUAUUUCUCAUGGAAGCCCUCGUGCAACAUAGGAAUGCGAUGUUGGAUAAUUUUUCCCAAACCCUUCAACAAUUGUCGACAAUAGCAGGCGCGCCUAUUGAUUAUCUGGGUUGGUUUUCAUUGAUGUCAACCCUUGAAGAAAGUCUAGUAGUGAAUUUUGGUAGCACAAAGGUUUGGGUAAUGGACCCAAUUUUGUUUUAUUUAUAAUGGUAUGAGUUUUAAUAUAUUUGAAGGUAAGACUAUUCUGGAUGGAUAGUACAUGGCAUGCCAUUUUUGGUGGUAUGUGGAACGUCACAUAACUCCUCAUGGUUAGAGAGUUAUGGCCAUGUGAAGUUGGAGAACCCUCAUGAGUCAUCUAGAAGCCCCAAAAG
rnacentral:ncRNA from 1 species